UGCUCUGGGGACAAGAUGAUGGAGGAGUGUUUGGACAAAUUUUCCAAAAAGCUGUCGAUCAUCUUGGAGGCACAGGGCGAUGUGAUCGAGACCACACAGAAGGCGUCAAAACGAAGCUGCAAACCUUUGUCAAAGAGGAUGUGCGUCGGUUCAAGGAUGUACGUAAGGAGUUUGAGCGCAGCAGCGAAUGUCUAGAGGGGGCGCUGUCGAGGAACGCCCAGGCCCCGCGGGGGAAACAGCACGAAGUGGAGGAGGCGAGCAACGCUCUGCUCAAC